GAUCCUGGCUCAGGAUGAACGCUGGCGGCGUGCUUAACACAUGCAAGUCGAACGAGCCUUCGGGCUAGUGGCGGACGGGUGAGUAACGCGUGAGAAUCUGCCCUCAGGAGGGGGAUAACGGCUGGAAACGGCCGCUAAUACCCCAUAUGCCGCGAGGUGAAAUGAGAAAUCGCCUGAGGAUGAGCUCGCGUCUGAUUAGCUAGUUGGUGGGGUAAGAGCCUACCAAGGCAUCGAUCAGUAGCUGGUCUGAGAGGAUGAUCAGCCACACUGGGACUGAGACACGGCCCAGACUCCUACGGGAGGCAGCAGUGGGGAAUUUUCCGCAAUGGGCGCAAGCCUGACGGAGCAACGCCGCGUGAGGGAUGAAGGCCUCUGGGCUGUAAACCUCUUUUCUCAAGGAAGAAGAACUGACGGUACUUGAGGAAUAAGCCACGGCUAAUUCCGUGCCAGCAGCCGCGGUAAUACGGGAGUGGCAAGCGUUAUCCGGAAUUAUUGGGCGUAAAGCGUCCGCAGGCGGUCUUGAAAGUCUGUUGUUAAAGCGUGGAGCUCAACUCCAUUUCAGCAAUGGAAACUAGAAGACUAGAGUGUGGUAGGGGCAGAGGGAAUUCCCGGUGUAGCGGUGAAAUGCGUAGAUAUCGGGAAGAACACCAGUGGCGAAGGCGCUCUGCUGGGCCAUAACUGACGCUCAUGGACGAAAGCCAGGGGAGCGAAAGGGAUUAGAUACCCCUGUAGUCCUGGCCGUAAACGAUGAACACUAGGUGUCGGGGGAAUCGACCCCCUCGGUGUCGUAGCCAACGCGUUAAGUGUUCCGCCUGGGGAGUACGCACGCAAGUGUGAAACUCAAAGGAAUUGACGGGGGCCCGCACAAGCGGUGGAGUAUGUGGUUUAAUUCGAUGCAACGCGAAGAACCUUACCAGGGUUUGACAUCCUGCGAAUCUUUUGGAAACAGAAGAGUGCCUUCGGGAGCGCAGAGACAGGUGGUGCAUGGCUGUCGUCAGCUCGUGUCGUGAGAUGUUGGGUUAAGUCCCGCAACGAGCGCAACCCACGUCUUUAGUUGCCAGCAUUAAGUUGGGCACUCUAGAGAGACCGCCGGUGAUAAACCGGAGGAAGGUGUGGAUGACGUCAAGUCAUCAUGCCCCUUACAUCCUGGGCUACACACGUACUACAAUGCUACGGACAGAGGGCAGCAAACUCGCGAGAGCUAGCAAAAUCCCAUAAACCGUGGCUCAGUUCAGAUCGUAGGCUGCAACUCGCCUACGUGAAGGAGGAAUCGCUAGUAAUCGCAGGUCAGCAUACUGCGGUGAAUACGUUCCCGGGCCUUGUACACACCGCCCGUCACACCAUGGAAGUUGGCCAUGCCCGAAGUCGUUACUCCAACCCUUGUGGAGGAGGACGCCGAAGGUGGGGCUGAUGACUGGGGU
rnacentral:rRNA from 1 species